AGCUCCAAUAGCGUAUAUUAAAGUUGUUGCAGUUAAAAAGCUCGUAGUUGCAUUUCCGAGGCAAGGCAUUAGUCCGACCUUUGGUGGGUAUUUAAUCCUCUUGCCUCGUCCUUGAGUGGUGCUUCUUGGUAUUAAGUUAUCGAGGAGAUAGCCGCUCAUCGUUUACUGUGAGAAAAUUAGAGUGUUCAAAGCAGGCUUAUGCCGUUGAAUAUAUUAGCAUGGAAUAAUAAGAUAGGACCUCGGUACUAUUUUGUUGGUUUGAGAACCAAGGUAAUGAUGAAUAGGGACAGUUGGGGGUAUUCGUAUUCAGUUGUCAGAGGUGAAAUUCUUAGAUUUACGGAAGACGAACUACUGCGAAAGCAUUUACCAAGGAUGUUUUCA
rnacentral:rRNA from 1 species